GAACAGUGUCUAGGCCUAAUAAGUACUCAAAAUGCAUUGAUUAUAUUAUUUCUCUUUAAUUUUAGACAUCACAACAUUGCCCCAGAGAGGAACCCAGGAUUCUCACACCAUGACACCAUCCUCAUCUGUUUCUCCAGCCACAUUUGGACAUGGAUCUGGCAGCCAAAGGUCCACAAGAAUAUCCAUAUCUUCACUGUAUGAAAUUGAAAUAAGGAAGACUGUCCUAGCUAAAACCACGCUGAUAACUCUCUAUACUUUUUCCAUGCUUUGUUUUUCUUCAUACCACUUACUGACACCUGACAUUAUAUUAUACAUUUAUUUAUUAUGUGUCUGCUUUCAUAGAAUAUAAACUCCAAGAGA
rnacentral:lncRNA from 1 species